rnacentral:tRNA from 1 species
GCGGGCGUGGUGGAAUGGUAGACACAUGGCACUUAAAAUGCCUGGGCCGUAUAGGCCGUGCCGGUUCAAAUCCGGCCGCCCGUA